GACGAACGCUGGCGGCGUGCUUAACACAUGCAAGUCGAACGGAAAGGCCUCUUUCGGGGGGUACUCGAGUGGCGAACGGGUGAGUAACACGUGAGUAACCUGCCCUUGACUUUGGGAUAACUUCAGGAAACUGGGGCUAAUACCGGAUAGGAGCUCCUGCUGCAUGGUGGGGGUUGGAAAGUUUCGGCGGUUGGGGAUGGACUCGAGGCUUAUCCGCUUGUUGGUGGGGUAGUGGCUUACCAAGGCUUUGACGGGUAGCCGGCCUGAGAGGGUGACCGGCCACAUUGGGACUGAGAUACGGCCCAGACGCCUACGGGAGGCAGCAGGGGGGAAUAUUGCACAAUGGGCGGAAGCCUGAUGCAGCAACGCCGCGUGCGGGAUGACGGCCUUCGGGUUGUAAACCGCUUUCGCCUGUGACGAAGCGGGAGUGACGGUAAUGGGUAAAGAAGCACCGGCUAACUACGUG
rnacentral:rRNA from 1 species